rnacentral:rRNA from 1 species
UACAGAGGGUGCGAGCGUUAAUCGGAAUUACUGGGCGUAAAGCGCGCGUAGGCGGCCAACUAAGUCGACGUGAAAUCCCUCGGCUUAACCGGGGAACUGCGUCCGAUACUGGAUGGCUUGAGUUUGGGAGAGGGAUGCGGAAUUCCAGGUGUAGCGGUGAAAUGCGUAGAUAUCUGGAGGAACACCGGUGGCGAAGGCGGCAUCCUGGACCAACACUGACGCUGAGGAGCGAAAGCCAGGGGAGCAAACGGG